CCAAUAGCGUAUAUUAAAGUUGUUGCAGUUAAAAAGCUCGUAGUUGAAUUUCGGGGUUAGUAGGUUGGUCAUGCCUCUGGUAUGCACUGGUCUCACUGAUUCCUCCUUCCUGAUGAGCCGUAAUGCCAUUAAUUUGGUGUUGCGGGGAAUUUGGCCUGUUACUUUGAAAAAAUUAGAGUGUUUAAAACAAGCUAACGCUUGAAUACAUUAGCAUGGAAUAAUGAAAUAGGACGUUCGAUCCUAUUUUGUUGGUUUCUAGGAUUGACGUAAUGAUUAAUAGGGAUAGUUGGGGGCAUUAGUAUUCAAUUGUCAGAGGUGAAAUUCUUGGAUUUAUUGAAGACUAACUACUGCGAAAGCAUUUGCCAAGGAUGUUUUCAUUAAUCAAGAACGAAAGUUAGGGGAUCGAAGACGAUCAGAUACCGUCGUAGUCUUAACCAUAAACUAUGCCGACUAGGGAUCGGAUGAUGUUAAUUUUUUAAUGACUCAUUCGGCGCCUUACG
rnacentral:rRNA from 1 species